AUUGAACGCUGGCGGCAGGCCUAACACAUGCCAGUCGAACGGUAACAGAAAGCAGCUUGCUGCUUUGCUGACGAGUGGCGGACGGGUGAGUAAUGUCUGGGAAACUGCCUGAUGGAGGGGGAUAACUACUGGAAACGGUAGCUAAUACCGCAUAACGUCGCAAGACCAAAGAGGGGGACCUUCGGGCCUCUUGCCAUCGGAUGUGCCCAGAUGGGAUUAGCUAGUAGGUGGGGUAAAGGCUCACCUAGGCGACGAUCCCUAGCUGGUCUGAGAGGAUGACCAGCCACACUGGAACUGAGACACGGUCCAGACUCCUACGGGAGGCAGCAGUGGGGAAUAUUGCACAAUGGGCGCAAGCCUGAUGCAGCCAUGCCGCGUGUUUGAAGAAGGCCUUCGGGUUGUAAAGUACUUUCAGCGGGGAGGAAGGGAGUAAAGUUAAUACCUUUGCUCAUUGACGUUACCCGCAGAAGAAGCACCGGCUAACUCCGUG
rnacentral:rRNA from 1 species